ensembl:lncRNA
UGCAUUUCUCUAUUUUGAUCCAGCUAAGUCAAGUCAUCAGACUAUUGCUAAACCCUUCCUGAGCCUAAUCAGGCAUUAGGAAAGGGUAAAUGAGGCAGAGAUAUUCAAUGACUGAGAAUAAGAAAAAGGCUCACAUGGUAUUGUGCUGGCAGAGGGAAAGAGCGAAAGGGCACACAGGUCACUUGUUUGUUUGUUUGUUUCCCUGGUUGGUAUUAGAUGCUGCUGGAGAAGACCAAGCUUAUUUGUACGGAGAUAAGAAAUCUGCUGAGGCCGGAUUUAAAAUCAGAUUCUGUCACAGAGGUACCCUUUGUGCCCAGUGUAAAGACAGUGUGUGA